rnacentral:lncRNA from 1 species
CGUGCCUGUGGUCGCCUCAACCAAGUAGAACUUCCUUACUGGCUCCGGAGGCCAGUCUACAGCCUGUAUAUCUGGACCUUUGGGGUGAACAUGACUGAGGCUGCAGUGGAGGACCUGCACCACUACCGCAACCUCAGCGAGUUCUUCCGGCGAAAUGAAAUCCUUGUCUGCCUUUAAGCCAGGCUUAGCAGCACUG